rnacentral:rRNA from 1 species
AGAGUUUGAUCCUGGCUCAGGAUGAAUGCUGGCGGCGUGGAUGAGGCAUGCAAGUCGAAUGGGUUUAGGCCCAUGGCAGACGAGGUAGGAACACGUAGGUACGUACCCCAAAGUCAGGGAUAAUCCGCCGAAAGGCGGGAUAAUACUUGAUAGUCUCUUCGGAGUAAAGAUUUAUCGCUUUGGGAACGGCCUGCGGGCUAUCAGCUUGUUGGUAAGGUAACGGCUUACCAAGGCUACGACGGCUAGGGGAGGUGAGAGCCUGACCCCCACCGAUGGAACUGCGACACGGUCCAUACUCCUACGGGAGGCUGCAGUCGAGAAUCUUCCGCAAUGGACGAAAGUCUGACGGAGCGACGCCGCGUGGUGGAUGAAGUCCUUAGGGACGUAAACACCUUUUAUGAGGGAGAAAGUAUAUUGAUGUUACCUCAUGAAUAAGGGGCUCCCAACUCUGUGCCAGCAGCCGCGGUAA